rnacentral:rRNA from 1 species
AUGGCAGCGGGCGGAGCUAUUACAAACAAGACACUUGAUGAUGCUUUUCUGCUGAUUGAGAGCAUAGCUUUCCACCAACUUCAGUGGUACAAUGAUAAGCCCACCUCUAAUUCAUUGGUUUGCUUGCAACAAAUCACUACACCUCAGCCGCCAAUUCUUACACAAAAUCCUGAACCUCUAUCUCAGUGUGACAAGAUUGAGCUUGCAUGGAUUAUCUUUGACGAUGAUGACACCAUUCUAGUUGACACACGCGCUACAGAUCACAUGGAUACUAGUGUUGGAGAUUCAGUUUUGCAUUGUGAUGAUUCUUCCAUGGAUGAGCCGGAGCUGCAGUUAGUUGCUUUUGAUAUUGAGGAGUCACCUUUAGUUCAUAUUGAGCAUGUGCUGGUAGAGCCAGAUAUGGAGAAGUUCUCCUUCGAUGAUGUCAGCUGCAUUAAUUCCUCAACACUUGAGCCUGAGAUGGAGAGCUUCAUGGUUGACUAUGAUGAGGUGGAUUCAGAUGUCAAGGAGCCAAGCUCUACUAUUUCACUUGUUGACAUGAGUCCAGUGGAAAUUUCUACAAGCACACCUCACUUGGUAUCUUCAAUUGAGGUAGUCCUGAAGGUUCUUCCUAACUAUCUCAGGUAUGAUCUCAGCUUUCUUGACAAGAUAUGCCAUAUCAUGGAUACUGCCUAUGCACCAUGCGGUCUAUUGAUGAUAUCUAUUUGUCAUAUGCUUAGAUAUGCUUAUGUGAUAGGAUACUCUAUUGAUGACUUAGAGGGCAUUGUCCCUAUCAUUUGUAUUGGCUUGUUUGUUGAGUGUUCUUUCAGGUUUACGCUUUUGUACCAUUCAUUGUGGGUUGACCAAGUUCGAGAUGACAUCCCAUGGGAUCCUGGUGGACUCAAAGCAUGGCGAUGA